rfam:Enterocytozoon bieneusi H348 ctg01_408, whole genome shotgun sequence.
GAUUGAGUGGCCGAGUGGUCUAAGGCGCUACCUUAAGGCGGUAGUCUAGCAAUAGGCGCGAGUUCGAAUCUCGUCUCAAUCA